rnacentral:rRNA from 1 species
GACGAACGCUGGCGGCGUGCUUAACACAUGCAAGUCGAACGAUGAAGCCGGAGCUUGCUCUGGUGAAUUAGUGGCGAACGGGUGAGUAACACGUGAGUAACCUGCCCUUGACUCUGGGAUAACUACUAGAAAUGGUAGCUAAUACCGGAUACGACCCUCGGCGGCAUCGCCAGGGGGUGGAAAGAAUUUCGGUCAAGGAUGGACUCGCGGCCUAUCAGCUAGUUGGUGAGGUAACGGCUCACCAAGGCGACGACGGGUAGCCGGCCUGAGAGGGUGACUGGCCACCCUGGGACUGAGACACGGCCCAGACUCCUACGGGAGGCAGCAGUGGGGAAUAUUGCACAAUGGGCGCAAGCCUGAUGCAGCAACGCCGCGUGAGGGAUGACGGCCUUCGGGUUGUAAACCUCUUUUAGUAGGGAAGAAGCGAAAGUGACGGUACCUGCAGAAAAAGGACCGGCCAACUACGUGCCAGCAGCCGCGGUAA